GGCAUGGUGGCUUGGUGGUUAGCACAUUUGCCUCGCACCUUCAGGGCUGUAGGUUCAACUCCUGCCUCUGCCC